rnacentral:rRNA from 1 species
UACGAAGGGUGCAAGCGUUACUCGGAAUUACUGGGCGUAAAGCGUGCGUAGGUGGUGCGUUAAGUCUGUCGUGAAAGCCCCGGGCUCAACCUGGGAAUGGCGAUGGAUACUGGCGCGCUAGAGUGCGGUAGAGGAGAGUGGAAUUCCCGGUGUAGCAGUGAAAUGCGUAGAGAUCGGGAGGAACAUCAGUUGCGAAGGCGGGACUCUGGGCCGAUACUGACGCUGAGGAGCGAAAGCGUGGGGAGCGAACAGG